GGGAGUACAGCUCAGUGGUAGAGUGCACACCUAGCAUGCAUGAAGUCCUGGGGUCUAUUCCCAGCACCUCCA
rnacentral:tRNA from 1 species